rnacentral:ncRNA from 1 species
CUAGUCUCUCCCUGUCGCUGCAAAAUCAGCGAUCGGGCCUGAGAACCCGAUGC